CAGGAGACGGGAAUGUAGAUGCAACACUAGCCCUUGUGUUCUUGUAUGUUGAUGUGGAUUUUAAAAGGCACUACACAAGAGCAAGGAGAGAGAUGUUUGUUUCUGUCGGCGCGAUGUGUGAAGAAACCAGAUGGCUGUACCAACUCUGAUGACGUAUCCCGAGUGAGCCAUGUUUUCGUGAAACAGAGAAUGUUGCAAUCUCUGUUUCUCUGGAAGGCAACCCUUGCUUGGAUUUUGUCUACCUUGUCAAGAGACUGGACAUUGGCGAGUAGUAUACUUGGGAGUGUACUUGGGAGAGGUAUACUCCCAAGUAGGUAUAUAUCUACGGUAUAUAUCUACGGAGCCAGACCAGAAGACCGCUCCGACAGCUCCUUCUGAGGCGCCGUUGCUUUGGGUCGCCUGUUGGGAUCCGAUCCGUUGUCCUGUUUGGUGGACCAAACAGAGGAUCCGCUUCGGGACAGUCGUAUUCCUGGUCAUAAUGUUGGAAAUAUGCACAGGGUCGCGGUCAAAGGGAUGUUUGUCAACGUCAUGUGGAACGCGGAGCUACGACAGAGCUUGCAUGUUAAGCAGACCCUCUGCCUUUAUCAAGCCAAUCACAAACGGAAAAAAAAAUGUAAAAAUGUUGUGGAGCCCAGACACCUGGCAUGAAGACACUCUCCCUCCCUCCUUUCCUCCAUCCCCUAACUCAUCCCUAUCAGACACCUCCAAGCUUUGCAUAUCAGAAACUCAGACCUUAUUUGUCUCCCUCUCUUCUCUUUUUCAUUAACAGAAACAAAUAAAGGCCUCUCUAAUCCAGAAAAUGUGCUUUUUUAUUGGAUGCUUUAAGCCCUAAAGACAGGCUACUCCACCUGGAUUUUACAACCACACAGUCAUUUCUUUGUGCCUGCCGGAC